GUUGCAAAACGGCCUAUCGCUACUUACUCCGGUGAGUAGAGGAAAGUCCGGGCAACGUAGGGCAGUGUACCUCUAGAAAUAGUGGGUAUCCGUGUAGGAAUGCACAGAUAACAGAAAGGGUAGCAGAAAAUAACCGCUCCGAGUAAUCGUGAGUAAGGGUGAAAAAGUGAGGUAAGAGCUCACACGCUCGAGUGGUAACACUCGUUUGGUACAAACCUUGCACGUUGUAAUACCAAGUAAACUGCAGGCUGAGGGCGGCUCGUCCGAUUUUCGCUUAGGUGAGAAACUGCAGAGGGUAGGUAGCUUAGAUAAAUGAUGGGCUCCUCGCUUCGGCGAGUAGACAGAACCCGGCUUACAGUUUUGCAUUUUUU
rnacentral:RNase_P_RNA from 1 species